rnacentral:rRNA from 1 species
AGAGUUUGAUCCUGGCUCAGGAUGAACGCUGGCGGCGUGCUUAACACAUGCAAGUCGAACGAUCCUUCGGGAUAGUGGCGGACGGGUGAGUAACGCGUGGGAAUCUGCCCUUAGGAGGGGGAUAACGGCUGGAAACGGCCGCUAAUACCCCAUAUGCCGAGAGGUGAAACGAAUUUCGCCUGAGGAUGAGCCCGCGUCUGAUUAGCUAGUUGGUGGGGUAAAGGCCUACCAAGGCGACGAUCAGUAGCUGGUCUGAGAGGAUGAUCAGCCACACUGGGACUGAGACACGGCCCAGACUCCUACGGGAGGCAGCAGUGGGGAAUUUUCCGCAAUGGGCGAAAGCCUGACGGAGCAACGCCGCGUGAGGGAUGAAGGCCUCUGGGCUGUAAACCUCUUUUCUCAAGGAAGAAGAACUGACGGUACUUGAGGAAUAAGCCACGGCUAAUUCCGUGCCAGCAGCCGCGGUAAUACGGGAGUGGCAAGCGUUAUCCGGAAUUAUUGGGCGUAAAGCGUCCGCAGGCGGCCUUGUAAGUCUGUUGUUAAAGCGUGGAGCUCAACUCCAUUUAAGCAAUGGAAACUACAAGGCUGGAGUGUGGUAGGGGCAGAGGGAAUUCCCGGUGUAGCGGUGAAAUGCGUAGAUAUCGGGAAGAACACCAGUGGCGAAGGCGCUCUGCUGGGCCAUAACUGACGCUCAUGGACGAAAGCCAGGGGAGCGAAAGGGAUUAGAUACCCCUGUAGUCCUGGCCGUAAACGAUGAACACUAGGUGUCGGGGAAAUCGACCCCCUCGGUGUCGUAGCCAACGCGUUAAGUGUUCCGCCUGGGGAGUACGCACGCAAGUGUGAAACUCAAAGGAAUUGACGGGGGCCCGCACAAGCGGUGGAGUAUGUGGUUUAAUUCGAUGCAACGCGAAGAACCUUACCAGGGUUUGACAUCCUGCGAAUCCCUUGGAAACGAGGGAGUGCCUUCGGGAGCGCAGUGACAGGUGGUGCAUGGCUGUCGUCAGCUCGUGUCGUGAGAUGUUGGGUUAAGUCCCGCAACGAGCGCAACCCACGUCUUUAGUUGCCAGCAUUCAGUUGGGCACUCUAGAGAGACCGCCGGUGAUAAACCGGAGGAAGGUGUGGAUGACGUCAAGUCAUCAUGCCCCUUACAUCCUGGGCUACACACGUACUACAAUGCUACGGACAAAGGGCAGCAAGCUCGCGAGAGUUAGCAAAUCCCAUAAACCGUGGCUCAGUUCAGAUCGUAGGCUGCAACUCGCCUACGUGAAGGAGGAAUCGCUAGUAAUCGCAGGUCAGCAUACUGCGGUGAAUACGUUCCCGGGCCUUGUACACACCGCCCGUCACACCAUGGAAGUUGGCCAUGCCCGAAGUCGUUACUCCAACCCUUGUGGAGGAGGACGCCGAAGGUGGGGCUGAUGACUGGGGUGAAGUCGUAACAAGGUA